AAUUAUUUCAUCCUCCCCCAUUUUAUUUUUAAAAGUUUAAUAUAUUUAUUUAUCAAAAUUUACUAUUAUCGCAAUAAAAAAUUUAAAAAAUAAGUAAAUGGAAUAUACUUACCCUUUCAUAAAUAAUAAAAUAUUAUUUUAAUAAAAUAGAAAUAAUUUUUUUUUUAAGGCCUAGUUUGAGAUUGCGGGAAAAUUGCAUUACGUGCGCUGAGUCGAUUAUAUAAUAUUUAUUUUCGUACGUAAUAUUACGUUCCGCAUAUUGCGAUGAGUCGAUUAUAAUAUAUUAAUCACAAUCUCAUCGGAAAAUGUAAAAAUAUAUCUUUAUAUACUUUUUUUCUAACUUUAUUUUAUCUAACAGCGUUAGAUAAACCUUAAUACCAAACUAUACCUAAGAAAAGCUUAAAGACCAUGAUUAUUAACUAACCU
rnacentral:lncRNA from 1 species